rnacentral:rRNA from 1 species
AACUUUCUACAACGGAUCUCUUGGUUCUCGCAUCGAUGAAGAACACAGCGAAAAGCGAUACGUAAUGUGAAUUGCAGAAUUCCCCGAAUCAUCGAAUCUUUGAACACACAUUGCGCCCCCCGGUAUUCCACGGGGGGUGCCUGUUUGAGCGUCAUU